ACGGUUAUAAGUUAAUGGUAGACUACUUAGCCACCAACUAAGAUAUGUCGAUUCGAUUUCGACUAACCGUA
rfam:Aspergillus ustus strain 3.3904 ATSC_27, whole genome shotgun sequence.